rnacentral:rRNA from 1 species
CCAAAAACAUAGCCCUAGAAGUAAUCUAAGGUGUAACCUGCCCAAUGAUUUUUAAUUAAAAAUCAAUAAAAUUGAUUAAAUAAAAUUUAAAGGAUGCAGUAACCUUGACUGUAAUAAUGUAGCAUAAUCAUUCGCCAUUUAAUUGAUGGAUAGUAUGAAUGGUUGAACGAAUGUUCCACUGUCUUAAAUAGAGAAACAAGAAAAUUGGAAUAAUAGUAAAGAUACUAUUUAAAAUUGUAAGACGAAAAGACCCUAUAGAGCUUGACUAUAAUUUCUUUCAUCAGAGAAAUUGGUAGUUUAGUUGGGGCGACUAUCUUCUAAAAAUAACGAAGAAAAAUAAACUCAAUAAAAAGAAACUGUAUAAUCCAUGAAUUUAACAGUUAUGAAAAUAGAUUAUAAUGACCCGUUAUAAUUAAGUAAAAAAAUAUAACGACCAAUAAAUAAAAGCUACCUUAGGGAUAACAGGAUAAUUUCAUUCAAGAGAUCGAAUCAAAAAUGAAGUUUGUCACCUCUAUGUUGAAUUAAGAUAACCUGGUAAUGCAGAAGUUACCAAAGGUAGGUC